ACUCGUACCUCCAUCAAGUCAUUGCAGCCGAGAGCUGACUCAUUUGGAGCUCCCUCCCUCCACGUCAUAGAGAAGUUCCGAGACACUGCCCUCCACUGCAGGAUUAUAUCUUGUAGAGAGGAGGGGUGAUCUGUUGAGGCAAGGAAAGAUAGAUCGAUGGAGUUUGCUGUAUCCGCAUUUGGCGUGGUAGCUAGCAUCGCCAUGUCCAAGCUCUGUACUGUGAUACGAAAAUUAUAUGGGAAGGCGAAGCUUGAUGCUACGUUCUUAAAAGAUGAGCUCGAGGCAAUCCGAGCUGCUAUCAUUCAACUUUGUUUCAGAGGUGGACCUGUUAGAUGUUUGCAGAUAGUAUGGAUAUCACAACUAAGGCGAUUGGCAUAUGACAUCGAAGACAGCAUAGACUGCUUCCAUGCCAACAAGCUGAGCCCCGAAGAAUUCGCCAUAAAGCUUGGUGAACUCAAGGAAAGGUCAUUGGAUACGACCGACCGGAUAAAAAGGUAUGGAUUCGCUGACCAAGGGUCUGCAGAAGGGUCUUCCGUUGUCACCAAUUAUCCUCCGGAUUUUCUUCUUGGCGACAAGAGUUGCCAUGACUGCUUGGUAUAUUUGUACUUGUUUCCUCCUAAUCAUCAUGUCAGGACUAAACCUCUAAUAAGGAGAUGGCUGGCUGAAGGUCUAGUACAACGAGAAGAUGCUGCAGUCGAUAAUUUGCAGUCCAUCAUUGACUCCAGUUACAUCGGUUCCAUCGAGAGAAGUAUCAAUGGGAAGGUGAAGAGGUGCAAAAGAACUCAUGAGACGCUAGAGGACAUCGCCAAACGGUCCUUGUCUGAGAAGUUCAUCCUGGUCUGUGACGGCACCGCCCAACUUCAGGAGGAAGAAGCCCGGAGGCUGUCUGUGCAUCCUUCUGGAAAUGUACAACUGAAUUUGCCUCAGGAUCUGCCUAGUCUCCGAACCUUAGCGGUAUUCCCUGCUGGUGCGGCGAGUCUCGCUAGUUAUGAAGAUGUUUUAGAUUUUUCCAGGUAUGGUCAAGUGCUGCGGGUGUUGGAUCUGAAAGAAUGUGCUCACCUGAGCGAUGAACAUAUUCAGGCUAUUUGCGAGCAGGUGCUGAUGAAAUAUUUGAGCAUCAAUUUGGGUAGCAUUGAUGAGAUUACAAGGGAUAUCGGGAAGCUGAAUCAGCUAGAGACCCUCGACCUGAGUGGAAGCCAGACUGUGACGGUGUUCAAAGAAGUCCUCAUGCUGCCCAAACUGAAGCACCUCAUUGGGAAGUUCCAGCUUUCUAAGAGAGAUACCUUUUGGGGACCUGUACCAUCAGAUGUAGAGAAGCUCCUGAGAGCUAACAGUAAGAUGGAGACGCUGGCAGGAUUUGUCAUGGGUAGGAGACCAGGAUUUCAACAACUGCUGAGUCUUAUGAGGCGGUUGCGGAAGGUGAAGAUAUGGUGCAAAACCAACGCAAGUUCAGAUAACCUGCUUGCUCUUUCAAAUGCCA
rnacentral:rRNA from 1 species